UUUCCGUAGGUGAACCUGCGGAAGGAUCAUUAUUGAAUGAAACACUUCUGGCUUUCUGCUGUUGUGCUGGCCCUUUGGGCAAUGUGCACACGGAGCUGGUCACUUGUUUCUUCUGUUACACCUGUGCACUGCCUGUAGACACGCUGUGUCUAUGAUAUUUGUUUACACACAACAAUGUUAGUUGGAAUGUUAUAUAAAAUAAUAAAAUAUACAACUUUCAACAACGGAUCUCUUGGCUCUC
rnacentral:misc_RNA from 1 species